rnacentral:tRNA from 1 species
ACGGGUGUAGCGGGCGUAAACGCUCAGCUUUUCGGGCUGGCAGAAACGCUGGAUGUCGUUGAAGAUGCGUUCCACGCACUGCUCGUG